rnacentral:rRNA from 1 species
GACGAACGCUGGCGGCGUGCCUAACACAUGCAAGUCGAACGGGGUUACGAGAGCUUGCUCUUGUAACUUAGUGGCGAACGGGUGAGUAACGCGUGAGAAACCUGCCUCUCAGUGGGGGACAACAGUUGGAAACGACUGCUAAUACCGCAUAACACUUUAGUACCGCAUGGUACAGAAGUCAAAGCUUUAUGUGCUGAGAGAUGGUCUCGCGUCUGAUUAGCUAGAUGGCGGGGUAACGGCCCACCAUGGCGACGAUCAGUAGCCGGUCUGAGAGGAUGAACGGCCACAUUGGGACUGGAGAGUACGGCCCAGACUCCUACGGGAGGCAGCAGGUGGGGAAUAGUUGGGCAAGUGGGGGAAACCCUGACCCAGCAACGCCGCGUGAAGGAAGAA